ACGUAGGUGGCGAGCGUUGUCCGGAAUUACUGGGCGUAAAGGGUGAGUAGGCGGGAAGCCAAGUCAGAUGUGAAAUAUCCAGGCUCAACCUGGGGGCUGCAUUUGAAACUGGUUUUCUUGAGUGAUGGAGGGGCAGGCGGAAUUCCCGAUGUAGCGGUGAAAUGCGUAGAUAUCGGGAGGAACACCAGUGGCGAAGGCGGCUUGCUGGACAUUAACUGACGCUGAGGCGCGAAAGCGAGGGGAGCAAACAG
rnacentral:rRNA from 1 species